GAGGAGAGAGAGAGAGAGAGAGAGAGAGAGAGAGAGAGAGAGAGAGAGAGAGAGAGAGAGAGAGAGAGAGAGAAAGGAUCGGAGAGGGAAAGGAAGAAAGAAGAAAAAAUAAAAAAUAAAAUAAAUGAUAAAAUAUUAAUUGAUAUAAAUAAAAUAAUAUAAUAUUAGAUAGACUGGGUGCUAGCGUAUUUUUAGGGGUGGAGAUGCUUUGGCCUAUUACUGUUUACUGGAGUCUAUUACUGUUCAAUUGAGUGGAUAAAUGCGCUGGGUGCUGGCAC
rnacentral:lncRNA from 1 species